rnacentral:rRNA from 1 species
UACGUAGGGUGCAAGCGUUAAUCGGAAUUACUGGGCGUAAAGCGUGCGCAGGCGGUGAUGUAAGGCAGAUGUGAAAUCCCCGGGCUCAACUUGGGAACUGCAUUUGUGACUGCAUCGCUGGAGUGCGGCAGAGGGGGAUGGAAUUCCGCGUGUAGCAGUGAAAUGCGUAGAUAUGCGGAGGAACACCGAUGGCGAAGGCAAUCCCCUGGGCCUGCACUGACGCUCAUGCACGAAAGCGUGGGGAGCAAACAGG